UGGGCUCUAUUUUCGUUCGCGCCGGUGAGGCGGCGGAGGGCGGCGAGCCCCGCGCAGUUGUAUUUUCGUCUGGCGGAGCCCGGCGUAAGGCGAGUUUGGUAUUUUCGUGGACUGAGUCGCACGGAGGCGAGCCGAGAUCCGCCAAGCUGGGCGUGGUGGCGUGGCAGGGGGAGGUGUUGACAGAAUCAGCAGGCGCAGUGACAUUUUCGUGCUCGCCACCGGUGUGUAACGUGCGCUGAAAGCUCGCCGAUUCAAACCUGGUCAGCUUUCAGCGCAAGGCGGAACGCAGCUGGUCUAGUAGCAUUUUGGUAGACCGGCGGCGUAUUGACAUACGUCACUGAUGCCUCACCGGCAGGUUUCCACAGUGUCAGGCAGAUUUCAGUGCAAUAAGUAAUCACCAACAACUAUUAAUCUGAGUCAGCACAUACAUUUAGAUCUAUAUCGAUAUAUUCUGAUCUAUAUCUGAUCUGAUGAGCACGUUUGGCACGCGUUUGGACACACAACCUGACCGAAUCAACACAGCUGAAACCGCAUCAAAUUAAAUUAAAUAUCUAGUAAAUAAACACACAUGAUGAUGUUAACAAGAUAUGUAAUGUGUCUCCCUCCUUUUCUUUCUUCCUCUUAUUUCUCGCACAGCUCGACCUGGACACGUCUCCGUGUCCUCUGUCCGUCUUGCUGCAGCUGCUGCGGCUGAACAGAUGAUUUGUUUCAGUGCUCAGAUGCGUUAUCUACUUUAAGCCGACAUACGGAUAUUAUAAUAUUCAGUUUUGUGGGCCAAAUUUAUUUUAUAUGCCAACAUCUAUGAAAGAAAGAGCCAGGCCACGGAGCGCGAUGGGUCAUUUACGCACAGAUGGUUCCGAUUUUAAUGCCAUUUUUGGAGUUUAUGUUGUGAUCUGUGCGCUAAACCCACCUUUGUCACGUGAGGUUUAAAUAUAUGCAACUUUAUGUGAGUGUCUUUAUUUGUGGAAAAGGGUGUUUGUCUUACCAGUGGGUCCAACAUUACACACACCAAAUCCAUCUGUGCUCAGAUGAGAGAGUGUGGAGGACACUUGUUGAGCAGCUGCCCUCUGUCGCCAUCGUGUGGCAUAACUGUCUUCAGACAUCUCUUGAUCUCUUUGACUACUUCAUGAAAAUAGUAAUACGCCUCGCCUGUGGCGGAUUUAAAGGCAAGGAGAGGAGCUUAUGUGAUUGGUGAAAACAGGUCUCGGCUGUGUUAAACCCACUAUACGCCCUCUCUCCUCCCCGUCUGCCGGGAGGAGCUGAGUUAGGGAGGGGGGAUACUUACGCCGGGCUGCGCGGCUCACCAAAAUACCAAAAUGUGCUUGGGAACGCCUUGUCAGCGCGGCGGAUCUGAUUGAUGCUGCGCUUGCGGCACGUCUCCGGCGAAACAUGAUAAACAUGAUAUUGUCUUGUGUCUGUCAUGUUUGCUCAUUUAUUCCAAAAACUAACUUCUUAAAAUUUUGUUUUACAGUAAGAGCCGCCCAUAUUGUGCUGUGACUGGUUUCUAAAAGAGAGAAUAGAGACAGCAGUAAUCUUGACCCGAUAUCUGCAGAAUUAGGUGUCUGUGCACACUUUUACUUCUGAUGGCACAGUUUAGAUUAGAUGCGCGUGCCAUAGGCUGUAUGACAAAUGGAUGCAGGGUCGCUGAAAUCACCCAUGUAGUUGUACAACAGAGUUCUGAAGCCUAUUGACAGAGGUUGCUGUAUUAUUAAUGACUCAACCCAGUUUUCAGGUGACCUAUAGCACCCCUUUUACUGUGAACUGUAAGCCUAGCUAAUGUGCUAGUUCUUUUGUCAGUUUCUCAAUAAAGGGGCAGAACUGACCAGCCUCCGUUACGGCUAAAACGCCAUCUAGUAAUGCAUAACUCUUACAAUGUGGGGAAAAGGCAGAAAUAUCCCCUGAAGUUGCAUCACACCCGACCACCAACAUCCUUAAAUAUUCCUAGAAGUGAUCAAGACGAUUCUGCAGCUUUUUUAUUGGCAUGUUUCUGCACAUAACCUUCUUUAUCAGAUUACGGAUUUAAAAACAAAACAAAAACACACACCUAAAAAAAACAACUGAGUGAGAAUAUAAAGAUCUUUCACCUCUGCUUAUAUGUGAAAAAUUUUCCUGAAGGCUUCAGAUAAAAAUUAAAUGCACUUUACUCAGAUAGGGAUUUAAUAUGCAUAAGUGCACCCAUGUAACACAAAAUGUUCCAAGCAUAUACCUUUGUCACUCUGCAGCCUCCACAUGCUUGGUUUUCUGCAGCUUGAUCUGUAAUCAUAUUUCACUCUCGUGUAUCUAUAAUGAGAGACUGAUGCUUAUUUGACAUUCAACAAAAAACAGAGAAAUUGUUUUUCUUCAUUUGAGCAAAUUUGUCUCAAACUUGUCUUUUUUACCAAGUCAACACCUUUACUUUUAAUAUAAUAAGCUGGUACAACCACUGCUGCAAAUUGUGGUAAAUAAAGUAUGUGUUGUGUUUUUACACGAAUAGCUGACACUAAAUGGUGUUAAAGGUGUUCUAAAGAGAUUUCUGUCUCAACAUUUUAUGCAUGUCAUAUUUUUCACACCUCCUCCAAGCCUGGGAUUGUUGAUAUUUUAAUAGAUCUGAUCUAAAUUUUUAUCUAACCUCAAAUAAAGUGUUUUUUGUGGACCAUGCUAAGUCCAAUAUCCAAGUUGUUGUUAGUAUGAGAGGUCAAGGUAAAGUUCUAAAGUAAAUACUUUAUAGCUUUAUAGCCACAUUUUGUAUUGUUUUGAGUAGGAGAAGCCUCAUCAGGAUCUUUAAAGCACAGCCACUUUGGCGAUAUUCGGACUUGCAGGAAGUGAUUUUGCAUAUUAAAGAACAGUUAAAUCGCAUCUGCGAUAUAAUAAAAUGCACAUGCGAGAUAUCAAAUCGCAAGUGCGAAUUAAAAACAAAGAAAAAGUUAAUGUCACCUCCCGGGCUUCAUAUUUAUCAGCAGUAAAACACAGAGGAAACAAUGCUGUGAUCCAAAAACGAAAUUCAAAUUUUGAAAGGAUUUUCGCAUCCGAAAGUAACAUUUUGGCACCACAGGUGUUUUUGGCAUUACUAACAGAUUUGAUUUAAAUGCAAACAAUACCCUCCCUGCUAUCCUCCAUAUUAUCCAUGAGUAGUUGAUUGUUGCAUACAGUGCUGACUUGUGGUUAGGUGGUUGACAAGUUAAACCCUAUGAUCAACCAGUAAAUGUGUGCUGCAUGUUUUUUUCUGUUAUGGUCCCAAAAGUUCCCUGUUGGUUCUUUUUCUUUUCUUUUUUUUUUAAUUCUCUUAAGAUUUUCUUGUGGUUGUGUGUGUGUUCUUGUUCUUGCAUAAUUUAUUUUUUGUGAAUUCAUUUAAAAACUGCAGAAAGCCAAGCCACACAGUCACACACACACACAGCUCCAGUUUGCACUUAGCCAAAUGUAUGUUAGGAAAUGUUGAGUACCACAGUUCAUUUAGCCAGAGUACAGAGAGACCUCUGCGGUGACUUAAUGCCCGUGUAGGUCUAAGUGACAGAUGGAGAGCACUUUAAGGUCUCUGCAUGAGCCCAUACAAUAUUAACUUUGUCUUAGUCAGCAUCAAACAUGUGAAAAAUACAGCUGUGACUACUGUGAGGAGGAUUUACGUGCAGGUCAGUGAGGGGGAGUUACUCCCGCAGCGCACAGGACAGAGCAGUCGGAGGUCACUAAUCACCCAGCUUUUUGUGUUUGUCGGAGGAGUGGGGGGGUUCCUCAAGAUGGUGGCACUAAUGGCUCUAAAUGGUGCCAUUACAGAGAAAGGAGGUGUGUGUUUCAGGCAACUCAAAGAGAUGGACACACAGCAGAAUUUGCUUUACCUGAACUGCAACUUUCAGUUAAAGUCAGGGUUGCAGACUCAGACACAACGAUCAGUAAUCAUGUGUGAGGCCAUCAGGAGAGGCCAGGAACCCAGCUGCUAAGCACAGACCCUGUGGUGAAGGUCUGAGGGCCGGUACUUACUGUGUGUUGUGAUCUCACCAGGUGUGAAUAACUCCUUCAAUGUUUUGGUUUCCGUGCUCGAUGUCCGUGAAUGACUAGCUCCAUUCAUAGACUAUACUGGAGUGCUCAAACAUAGAAGGGUCUCUUUCACGUUAUUUCAGUCUCUUUAUAUCAAACAUGUUGGCAUUGUGAGGAUUGUUUUGUGACUUGACAACCUACUAGAAAAUCUAACCUCCUUAUUCACUUUCCUCUAGGUGAGCUCCUUUUUGUUCCUGUUUCCAUGGAAAAAAACAAAAACAUGUCACCUUGUUUAGUUUUUUUUGCAAUAAAUGAACCUUCACCGGUCUGUUGUUGACAUACAUCACCAGAUAAUCUCCAUGCUGGUUGGCUCUUUCACAUUGUUAGCCUGUUCGUGUUGCCUAAGAAUUCACAUAUAACAGUGUUUCAGUGUAUUUACAUGUCGUGUGAAUGAUUAUUCACAGUCACAAUGUACCGGCACCAGUCCUUUUUGGAGUAUGAAAGAUUGAUAUUAAGACAAAAACAAGCAAACGUUUAUGCUGUGAGUUUAAAGCUGAGGUUCUAUGUGAAAGGCUGCAAGUGAACCGGUUAAAGCAGAUCUUUAAGAGAUGAUGAGACACUUUUAAAAACUGAUAUUCAGAGUUUUUGUAAAUCCAAAUGACACAUUAGCGCUUGUUUUUCUUUGAUUACAAAUAAUAUAAACAUGUAACUGUUUUAAUAUAGUUUCUGUAACGGAGAUAUCUAUUUAAGUUUUCAAUAAAUAAGUAUCCCAGUGAUAUCAUUCAUCUGCUUUUUAUGGCCGUGAUGAUGGUGAGUUAAAAAUCUGAUAUUGUGUCAGCCCUCUUUACACCUGAAACAACUUUUUCUCUUUACUGUCUUCAUGAAAACAAUAUGGGUUUAGGACCUGCAUGGUGACAGAUCAGAUUCUUAGUUUGCUUUUGAGGCCAGAUGUUGCUUGAGUGUUUGAAAUACAACAACAUUUUGAACCCAGAAACCUGGUUUAUACCUCACAUACUAUUGAUUUUUCUCUACUUUAUACUUUGGGUGUAAUGUAGCACAAAAAGUGGAAGAUUAAAACCUCUGCAGUUGUUUCUUCUCUUUUUCCACAACUUUAUUUUAAACCCAUUUUAUUUCUCUUUCUCAUUCUCUUUCAAGCAGCCGUGCGUGGUGUGCUGAGAGACCUUGAAAUUGUAAUUUCCGAGUGUAACUUAUCUGUAUACAGAGUAGAGCAUGAAUCAGACCUUUGCUAUCAGAAAAACAGAACAGUCAAUUGUUUGACCUGCAGAGGUGGUUUAUUGUUUUCCAUCUGCAGCAUCCCUGUAGCCCUGAACCUAAGUGUCAGGUUAAGGAGGGUUACCUGCAGCACAGGAUGAUCGAUGUGCUGUCCCAAAGAGACCCUGAGACCCUCAAAACAGGACUGCUGAGGUAGCUUCAGGAUUCAGUUAAAGUUUCAUUUAAAAAAAAAAAAAAAAAAGACCAGAAUGAGGAGCAUAGACUGGUGGCAUUUAAAAAAGUCCAUCAACACUUGCAGUAGCAAACUGUUCAAUUACAACUGAAGUUUCAGCACCAUGGACAGAGCUCUGUGUUUGCUGUAUGUUGCCUGAUGGUGUUGGCUACAGGAGUUGCUCCUAUCGUAAAACCACAUGUACAUUUAAAAAGUUAAGUAAGGUUGAACAAAACCAUCGUGUUAAAGUUAAAAAUAAAAAAAAAUAAUAAUAAUAAAAAAAUGAAAAAACCUCAGGUGAGAUUCUCUCUAAUGAAGCCAGCAGGAUACAAGAUCUGAUUUCGCUGUUUACCUGCUGUGAAGAAAAUUGUCAGAGAUGAUGCUCUGUAAAUAGAUCUGAAAACAAUAAGAAACACUAAGGUAUCUGAUCCAUGUUUUAUUAUAAAAGGGUGAAUGUUUGUCUCUGGCUCAUAACAAGUCUCCUGUUGACUUUUAAAGUCUGCUGGUGCUGUGGUUUUUGAAAUUUGUUUUGAUCAGUUACAAUCAGUCAUUUAGACAAUUUAGAGAGCUGGAGCUGUCUCAUUGCAGAUGAGUUACUUGACUACAUGCAUCCACCUGCACUACACCCAUCUUUGCAUAUCUCCUCUGCACUUAUGUCUCUUGUGGAUUAAUCAGUCUCAGAGAUUUAGCAUAUAAAAAAUAAUGACUCAUGAAUACAGCCUGAUACAUUUGCAGCAGCUGUGUAAACAGUAGUCCAGGUUUCUGCAGCCUACAGGAGAUUUCAGAGGAGACUCAUCGAAGCAGCUCAGCGGUCUGAGACAAACAGCAGGAAUCCUGCUUCAGGAAAGCUGUGGGGCAUCAGUAGUCACAUCACAUCAUUGUGUUCCAACUGCAAUUUUCAGCCGCUGAGUGUUGGAGAGUGCAAACAGAGAGAGGUAGGGGGAAAAUUACAGUCGUCAUCUCGGUGAUGCAGCCUGUCUAAUGGCACGGUGUGGAGGCUGCAGACACACCCGCACAACAAGCCUGCAGAGGAGGGAAAAAUACAUGGGUCUGAUGGUAGAAAGAAGACAGAAUUAUAUGUUAAACAGCAAUGAAUGACAAGAAGAGGGAGGCCAGAAAACACUAAUUUCUGUCAUCAUUGAAAUGGUGACUUAAAUGAGACAAAAACAAAAACAAUGGAGUUGAAUUUGGGGGAAAAAAAACAAAAAAAAACUUUGCUUUAGUUUAACCUUACUUUUGUUUAUUCAGGUGGUUUGAUAUUUAUUUCAACAGCAGAGAUGUGCAUGUUUGCUCCGUUCAACAAUUAAGUGUCCAGACAGCUCUACAAUGCUAGAGUUCAAGUUUAAACAUCUACCUGUCAGUUGGCCACUUUUAGCAAACUGAGUCUAUGGUUGUCAUCAGAGAUGAGGACUCAAGGUUUCAGACUUGGUUGGGAUCACACUUCAACAUGACUUCAGACUUAAUAUUGUUUAAUCUCCCAAUCAAUCGAUGAGUGAACGAUCAUCACUUGCUUGUUCUUUGCGUUUGUUGUGAAUAGCAUCUACUCUGCAGGUGAUCUGAGAGAAAGAAAGAAACAUUACAUACCUUCUUUCAAUGACAGCUUACUGAGCCACCUCUGCUUGCCAUAACUGGGUCAGGUGUGCACCAUUUGAGGUCAGUGUGAUGUAACCUAACAGUAAGGGACAAAGUUAAAAACGUUUUAUUUUGAAGUGGGGGCUUUCAUUUUGUAACUUCCUGUUUAGUGGGGACUUCCUGUUGGACAGUUUUUGGUUGCUGGAAGCACAUGUUGGCAAAUUUUGGUGAAACGGCCAUCCAUUCUUCUUCUGUUCCAUUCUUGUGGCAUUGCCAGUGAGUAUAUUAUAAUUUAAGAACCUGAGAAGCAAAUGUAUGUUAACAUUUGAUGCAGAUUACCUCAUUUUGUUGUAUAUUUAUUUGAUUCAUUUUUGUAGUUAGCUGUGGCUAGCUUAAUUUACCUCUUUAAGAGACAGUAAUACUGACAGUUUGUAGCCAAGUGCUUGUUAUAUUUACCUUUAGUAUUACCUGCCUGUAAUAUUUAUAUGUGUUAUUUCUUUAUUUAUUUCAGUUUUACCUUUUCUUCAUCAAAUUCCUGCCAAAUACACGUGGCCUGUUCAUUGGAGGAACCUUUUGGAGAGAUAAGUUAUGCUAGCUGUUUUAUACAUAUGAGGACAGUAUAGUAGUCAGAGAUGUGACAUUUGCAGCCGAUUUGAUGUAUACAAAAAGAAGUUAGUAAAUACCAUGAUGUAAUGGUAAGUUUAACACCUGAAGAGAUUCUUAGUGGUAUGGGGGUCAUAGCUUGACUAAUGGUUGACAACAAAUACAGGGACAUGGCAUUUUACUGCAAAUUGUGGUUAAUUACUGCAAAAACAAGCAAAGAGAUAAGGAAUAAACUUCUUAUAUGGAACAUGUUAAUGGUGUAAAUGUAAAUGUGUGACAUGUUGAAGUGUGGGGUGUUUUCAGUUAAAAUCAUACAGACAAAUGUGCAAGGUACGGAGGGGUUCAGGCAGAAUGAGCGAGAGCGAGCAGCAAUGAACUUACCUGACUAAUCUGCUGCCCCCAGUUACCAUCCCAACAUCACUGGUGUGAUCUGUACAAGCUCACCGGGUUUUAAUGGUCCAGAAGAACCAUGAGCAGGAAAUUAGACUCCAGAAAUCAGGGAAGAGGUGUAUUUAUAGAGUUAUGAUCAUUAGAAAAAUACCUUCAGGAAGAAACGUGACCUUUUCACACCUCACUCCCCCGUAUGUAUACACUAUAUGCAUAUAACACUGAAUUCGAAGCUUUGUUUGCAAAACUCAACCUAAACUCAUAACAAAUUGAAAACACUGACAUGAACUACAACAUAAUAAAAUAUAUUACUAAAAUAUAACAGUAGUGCAAAAACAUUUCACAAAAAUAGACACAUCUCAGCAUACGAAUGCAAUUUACAGUUUAUGAAAUGCUGCUCUUAUAUAUGCAAGUGUAGUUUUGAUUCUUGUUCUCCGGUAUUCAGAGAAAUGUUUUGACAGAUUAUGAAAUGUUAUCGCAGUUGACCACCAUACAGAUGACAUACAGUUGGAGCUGUUUUGCUGAAGGAGAAGUGUGCUGAUUAAAAGUUUGCAGAAAGAAAAGGGAAAAAAUUAAAGAAAACACGGAGAAGCCCAAACAACUCAGGAUUUAAAAUAUGAAAAUAAAUCUGCUGUUUAUUCAUGAAAUUAAAGACCCUCAGGGCACCUUGGGGGUACUAGGGGAAGAUAAUGGCUAAGGUUAAAAUGCAUUCUUGGUUACAGUUUGGAAAGUGUUGCUGCAGCUUUAAGCUGCUGCUAAAAUCAAAUGCAGAAUUUAACCCCCUCACUCAAACUAAACAUGAUUGCAACGUUAGUCUAACCCAGUUUAAAGUUGCAGGUUCUUGGCAUCCUGAUAAAGAUGCAUGUCUUUUUAUAUUUUUGUUACUACCAUCACCUCUCACCUCCUCUGCUUUGAACUGACACUACUUAUAAACAUCAGCACAAACAACACGUCUAAUGGGAUGCUUUUCUCUCUUCUUGCUAUGAUCACUCUCUCCACUGUAAUUAUUUCAUCCAGUUAUCACAGCAGUGAAGACCAGCUCCCAUUAUGAGCCUCAUUGAUCUGCAGAAGAGACAAUAUGUGCUGGAUUACAGAUGGCGUAUACAGUCUCUUCAAAUAAAGAAGCUGCAAAGACAACACUCGGCACAUUCAGGUGAUGUUUGUACUGCAGGAGUUACAACACCCAGUAACAGAAGAUCAUCAACCUUUUUCCUAAUUUCUGCUUCUGUGUCUAAAGGAAAUGAACUAAAUUUGUUUCUGAUGCCAGAAGAGGAAGAAGAGCUAGUCUGGUUUUCAUCUGUAAGGUAAAUGCUCACACAGCCGCACACAUUUUUGUAUUUGCACCAACAAAUCAAAGUCAGAAAUAUGUUAUAAAAAUAUCAUAAGAUUUAAUAAAUGCAUCUGGGUUUGAUUUGCUACUGAGCGCACCAUCAGUUGAAUAUGAAAACCUCUAAUUAUAAGUGAGGAUCUGGUACUUUUUCAGAAAUUUAAAUCAUUAUUGGUGUAUUUAAAAUUAUGUCUGAAAAGGAAAAGUGAAGAAUUAUGUAUGUCUAGCUGGGGGUUAUUCAGAUCAAAGUCUAAACUACCAACCAAAGACGUGGAGAAGUUGGCGCAAAAAAAAAUGUUGAUUUAAAGAUAAUUUUAUUGAUUCAAAAUGUGUCUAUUUUUCCUUUUGUAGAACUCAAAAAUGAGUCCCUUUGUCUUAUUGUGGGAGGAACUAACAUCAAAUGUACAUAUUAUUUUACAAUGGCUUAACCCAUUUAAGCCCACCGGCGACACUAGUCAGUGAAGAGCAAUACAAAUUAGUUAUACCAAAAGAAAGAAUUACUUAAAGGGGACCUGCCACCAAAAUUUCAUACCCAUUUUUAUCAUUUUUUCAUAAUCCUUGAUGUCCUCUGAUAAUGUUUGCAACAUAAUUUUAGCUGAAAAGUUAUUUGAUGGUUUGUUUUAGUAUGCCUAAAAAACCUUACAGGAAAACCAACUGGUUUUGGCUCAUUAACAUUUAUGGUAAUGAGCUUUGCUCUGAUUGGAUCGCUGCUGUGAAGCCUGCUGUGCUCUGAUUGGCUCAGCAGUGGAGGUUCGGAUUUCGGUUUAUCCCUUGUUAUUAUGCUAAUGCUAAUAGCAUAUGCUAAUGUGUGCUAAAGUAAGGUACCCAGAUGUCUUUAAUGAUAUCCAGGGAUAUUCGAUGCGGCGGCGGCGGUGCAGGGGCUGCAGGGGCUGUGUGAUCACAGACAAAGUCUCGGUACUAUUUAGUAGCAGCGCAUGCCCCUUGUAAUAACCCCCGUAAGAACUGUUGUUCAGGACUGCUAACUUGUGCUUCCUACCUAUUCGGCUACUGUAAUAACCAUUGUUCGAGCCCACACGCAACAUUUUUGCUCUCAUUAAUGAAACGCUUAAAUCGGGGACAUUUUCGGGGACAGCUUUUGCCGGGGACAGGUCAUCCAAUACGGGGACUGUCCCCGGAAAUCGGGGACGUCUGGUCACCUUAUGCUAAAGGCUAAAAACGGCAGGUAUUAAACCAUAUAUUUUAGACCCCGAGUCCGAAGAGGAGGUGGAAGUUGAGGAAGAAGCCGGAGACCUCCAGCGGUGUUUUCUCAUUCAUUCUGCCCGACUUUAAGUUCAUUUUCCCGGCAGUGAACCGAAGUAAACACCGGUUGUUUGGAAGAGACCCAUAGCGGAUACAGUGGUAGCUGGGUCUCGCUCUGGCUGUGACUGAGUACGAGAACGAGAGAGUGGGCACGGCUCACCGAGGACGCGCUCGUGAAUAAUAAUGAGCAAGGUCGGCGCAACGUAACACCGACAGGCUUUUUCAAUUGGCCUGGUUUACUCGUUCCUUUAUUUUAAACCUUUACAGAAUGCAAACGACGUAACGGUUUGUUUUCACAUUUACAACAUAAGACGAACAUAAUAUGGACCUUAUCUGACACAAAAAAAAACAAAAAUUACAUUUUUAUGGCAGGUCCCCUUUAAAGAAAAUUAUACUUAAAAGUAAUACAUGAUUAAAAUAAAACAUUUAGCAUAUUCAUUGCAAUAGGCAUGAAAAAAGCUUUGGCAUCUUUCUGAAUCAGCGUCCAAAGGGAAGAAGGUGAAACUCCAAAAAAAGAAAGGUCAGAUCAUGGCAGAUAGUCUCUGCUUAGCAUAUUUAAUGACAAAAAUAGCAAAGUUUCAUUAAAAUGUAUUCAUAUAUCAUCACAGAUUACUUUAGGUUUUGGAGUAUUGGAUCCAGACCAAAAAAAUCAUGUCUCUGUGUUAUUCCCAAAUGGAUGAAAGAAUACCACCUACAGCUCAACUUCAGUCUAAGACUGAGCUCCUUGUCAUUCCAGCCAGUCCUUCCUUACAACCACAGAUUACGUUUCAGAUCCAGUUUAGAUCAAAUUAACUUGUGCCCAAUUAGUCUACUUAGAAUCUGGAUGUCAUGAUUGAUGACCAACUAUCCUUCAAGGCUUAUGUCUCGACCCUGCCAGUUCACUCUCUAUAACAUUAGAAGGAUCAGGCCCUACUUGGCAGAGCACACAACACAGCUCCUUGUCCAGGGUCUUAUACAGUAAUUGUAUGCAUUGACUACUGCAACUCCUUACUGGCAGGCCUCACUGAAUGCACAGUCAAACCUCUGCAGAUGAUCCAAAAUGCAGCUGCCAGUCUGGUUUUCAACCAACCCAAAACAACAUUUCACUCUGCCGUUCAUCUUUCUUGAACCACUUCUUGCUGACAAAACUGCAACUUAACCAGCUCCCACAGGUCUGCACUCCCUCUGCAAGCUACACUCUUCCAAUGAAAGGCGCCUGAUGCCCCCAUCACGACAAAGCCUGAAGUCACUACCCAGACUGUUUUCCUCUAUCAGCACUUCAAAACCCUAUUAGAUCUGUGGAGACCCUUUCUACCUUAAAGAUAAAGCCCAAGACUCAGCUCUUUACAAUACAACACAAUACAACAACUGUAUUUAUCCCACAAGUGAAAUUCAUUUGUCUGGAAUCUCAUGAUUUUUUCUUCUCUGGAAGGAUAGUUAAACUGUGUAAAUCAAGUCAGAUGAGAAGAGAGGGGAACAUGGUUAAAAUCUCCUGGUACAAGUGCCUUAGGAUGCUGAAUCUGUAUCCUAGCAACAGUAACAUGGAGAAUACAUGUAGUAUUGUUAUGAUAUGGCUGAACUCCCUUGGAACAAAAUAUGAAUGAGGAGGAACUACCAACAGUUCAAUAUCUGGAGAUCACAUCCUUCUUCUUUAGGUGUUAAGAGUUACACCAUCUUUGGUUGACAAAUAAAGCCAGACCUUCUCCUUUCUUCUUGCCACUAACUUUAGUAUCUCUGUCUGACCUUAUGAGAGUGAAGCCAGGUACAUCCACACUGGAGUCCGAGUUGCUUUGAUUCUACCAGGUUUCAGUAAAACACAGGAGACUGCACGCACGGUAUGCUUCCUCAGUCUUAAUCAAUAUAGCCAGCCCGUUGCUUUUGUUGGGCAGAGAGUUGAUGGAAGAAAGGGUAUAUAUCUCCACUUCCUAGCCUUCAACUUUGCCCUCAUCUGUGCACCAGCACGGCAACCACAAUAACACCUCCUGAUGCCCUCUGGAAUUGGAUGUUGUCAUCCACAUUUGCUCUGUCUCAAUGAAAGAAGAUCUUCUCUUGAGCAAACUCCUCUCCCAAUAGUAAUAUCCAUCAGCAGCCAUUAAAACUACAAAAAAAAUAGAGCAAAAAGUGCAGAAAGCUCAGCUCUUCUCAUCUGUUGUCCCCAGUGAUAGAAUGACUGAAACAAAUGAUUUAAACAGUCCCCUUCUACUUCUUGAUCCACUUUUUGAUCCGUCUCUGAAUAGCUCUGGACUUAGUGUACCGAAUAAUGAUAAUAAUGAUAUUAAUGAUAAUGGUGGUACGAUUAUAGUGAUGACAAUGAGGAUGUUACAGUGCCAUUGUGACUGUAUAUGGAAGGUGCCUCACUUUAGUUGAUGAUGACGAUGAUGACGAUGAUGAUGGUGGUGAUGAUAAUGAUGAUGAUGGUGGUGAUGAUGAUGAUGAUGAUUUGAUACCCAAAAAGAAAAAGGUGAGUUACCUUAUACACUGCAUGACAGCAGUACUUGAUGCAGUUUGAAGCACUUCAUGCUGUUUCCUUCUGUCUAGAUCUUUGAUUGUGUUGUUCUUAUUCAUAAAUUUAAGCUUUUUUUUCUCUUCCUUUUUUUUUUCACUUUACAGAGCCAUCUCUGCAAAAUAACCUGAGCUUAGAGACACAUAUACAUGUAGUGUUUCACUAACUGUGUUGUUUAGGGUCGACCAAGGUCAUAUAUUUUUUUAUGUUAUGUUGUUCAUGCAGUGUGUUCUUACAUCUCUGUUUUAAUAGAGAUGUCAGCCAAAAUUCCUGCAUAAAUAAAUAUUAACUAAUUAACGUAUCUCUUUCCAUUUGCCUGAAGAGCUCUUGCUUUUAAUUAGAAGAGAUGAGGAUAGCGUUUCCUUGUACCAUCACUUUUAAUGAUAAAGAACAGCUUCACUAAGUUUAAGAUCCAUCACAUUCUGUCAUUUUUUUCUCUUUGUUUAUGCUUAAGGAUUUUUUUUUCGUCCCGAAUAGCAGCUGUAAAGUAUGCACUUUAUGAACUGUACUGAUAAAACAUUAAAUCCACACAUGGUUCUAAUCAAAUGUAAACGCUCAGUGUGUUGAGGCGGGGAUCACAUAUGAAAUCCAGGCCAAGUUUUGGACUGACUCCCCUCUUCCACCAAAAGUCAGCAAAGGCCUGAUUAACACAGAUAUACUCAUCCUCCUAUACCCUUCUGACUACGCCCUAUCAUUCUACUGCCCUGUGCCCUGGCAGCUUGAGCUGCAUGCUCUAGCUCCACCAUGGAAAUACACUCUACCGCUCGUCUACUGAUUUAGGGAAUAUGCUCUACCUCCCCAACCCUACUUAUUCAGUCUGUAUGCUCUGCCUUCUCUAUCACACCGAUUCAGUCCAAGCGCACUACACCCUACCCUGCUAAUUUAGGGUUAAUACUCUACCUCCUCUCCCCUGCUGAUUAAGGAUGUUAGCUGUUCCUCCCCUUCCUAACCAAUAAAGUCCAUAUGCCUGCUUUGCUAAUCAAGUCUGUGUGCUCAAACUCCUCCACCUGCUGAUAUUAGCUCAAGGCUUUAAGUUUCAUACACCACCAGUUCGAGCUGUACACUCGACCUCCCCUACUUUUCCAAUACACCCCAGAUCAGUGUUUGAAUCUGACUGAGUGAAAACUGCUUUGCUGCUGUAAACACUGCUCUGUUUGCUUUCUCUUGUCCUGCUUUCUUGCACUUCUACUCCAUCUUGGCUCUGGUAUUCUGGAGUCCUCUGCAGCAGAUACACAUGGCCUUAACUUUUACCAGUGCCAGGCCACAAAGCAUCAAUCAGCACAGGGCAGAUCUUGGGAGACAAAAAGUCAGACAGUGACACAACAUUAAACAUUUGGUUAAUUUCCUAAAUAAAAUGCUGCAUAGCCACAUAACUACUAAAACCCAUUAUUGUGAGCAAAGCCACAUGUGACAUCAACAGGUCAGAGGUUUUACAGAGCUCAUUGUGAAGGUAGAAAAACAUAAUUUGACACAGGAAAGCUUUGGUCUUGUGACUUCCACUGUCAGCCUUUCAGUGUUGACGGACAAGGGGUCAUAAAGGCAAACCAGUUUGAAGCUGAGACAAACUGAAUAUUGGUCUGGCUGGCAAUAGACUCUACCACCUCAUACUCUGCUUUAUGGCGAAUGAGAAAAAAAAAAAGAGAGAUCACAAGUAUGAAAGAAAAGGUAAAAAAAUAAAAAGUUAAAUUCUUGUUUAAUUUGAAUUCAAGGCAGAGAGAGGGAUGCAGACUUCUUUGUAUAACCUUUUAUCAGACAAUGAAAAGCAAUAAAACCCAGCGUAAAAACACCUCUCAGUACUGAGUGUACCAGUUUUGACACAAAGACAGACAGUAAUGUUCACAGCCUCUUAGAUUUCCAUCUCGAUUCAUGUAGCUUGAAUUAUUCGUGCCCUUCAAAUGCCAAACACCUCCCUGCGAUGCGAGGCUUCAGCCUUCAUUCACUUGCUCUACCUGCAAAUCACCACGCUGUCACACCUGAAACCAUGGCAACAGGCAUCACAGUCUCCAAAUGCACUCAGGCGUACAAACAUAUGAGACUUAUCAUGAUGCAUUUGCCUGCAUAUUAACAUUCCUUUAUUUUAGGAUUAGUCAGUGCUGCAGGUAGAAAUAACACAGGCGGAGUAACCUGCUGUAUUCACAACAGGGGAGGCUGAAGGAUUGUUUAUGAUGCACCAAUACUGCCUGAUAUACAGGUACGGCUGACUGUUUUUCCAGCUUAUCAUCAAUAAUGAAAGCAAAUGCUAUGUCUUAUAUGACCAUAAAUCACAGACAAGAAAAAGAUCAGACUUAAAGUAGCUAAUAAAAACAAAUCUGAGAAUGGCCUUGUAAAGCUCCAAACCCACAGGAUGUGUGUUGGGCGUGUCCUGUUACCGUGCUUGGAGCAGAGUAGCAGCUUGGCCCAGCUCUGUGCAGCUGGACUCCGUUUACAAAAAACAAUGUGCUCAUAAUUAGUUGCUUUGCCUUCCUGUGGUCGAUUCCCUGCUAAUUUGAAUAUAAUUCUGGGAAUGUUGUGUUUCUACCGAAUAUGAACAAGCAAUGUGAUUUUAAAGUUUGGAUUUUUGCAGUUUUAGCUAUGUUAGGUAUGUUCCACUUUGCUGUGCUGUUCCCUUCAGAGAGAGUUCCCAGUUAGAAGUCCUGUUGUGGUCCACAUGAAUCAGAAAUUGACACUGGGGUUGUUCGAUAGACUGUAUAUAGAAUGGAUGCCAUCUGCCUCCUCGCUGGGUCUAGCCACUCUGAGAACAGCACACUCUGGUGACGGGCUGCAGUAUAGGUCAUAAAUCCCGCCUCCUCCAGCAAAGUUUAUGGAGCUGUGGACAAACUUUAGAAAUUAAUUACACAGAAUAUAAAUGUUUCUCCCACCUGGUGCGAUGUUGACAUGUGGUUACUGUAAGACUGAUUUGUGCUCAAAUCCUCGUUUUUCUGUACAGCUCCAUUUUUAAGUUAUUAGGGGUUCAUGUUUUCUAUGAUUGUGGUAUAUUUCAUAGAUACAAAGGUGCAAAAAUGAACUACACAAAGACAGAAUCAAGCUGGCAGCCUCUCGCGGGAUUUGAUUUUAGUUACAGCAUCAAACACAGCUCAUGACAAUCAGACGGACAAUGCUAUUGCGCAAGUGAUUACGUGCAAUGUUGGUUUCAGGAAAUGGAGAAAAGUCGCGGAAAUGCAGAGAGGUUUUCAGCUUCAAAUCCAUAUACUGGCGAAAGGUGGAACCAAGUUGUCCAUAGUAUAUACAGUCUAUGGGUUGUUCUGUGUUAAUAAAUCCAGAACCAGGAAGUUUUUCUCAUCUACACGAUCUAAUAAACAGUCUGGAGUCCUACAAUGGUGCGACACAUACUGUGUGCAAUGCUGCAUUGAUAAGAAUGAAAAUGUAUUUACUGCGUAGCACCCAACUUUAAUGAAAAACACCCGACAUGAAUCCUGUGGGUUUUAGGCUCAAAACUGUACUGCUGCAACCAAACCAUACUUGCACAGAAAAAAAUACAUGAGCUUCAUUGGGUUUAUGUUGUCCACAACUUCUUACUUGUGUUAAAUACUGGAUUCUGAUUGGUCGAAACCCCAUAACAACUAUGAAUAAUUCAAGGAACAAAGAAGUGACACUCGGGACAUCCCGAUCACAUACCUCUAAUCUCACCCUGUCUUGACCUUGUUGCAUUUUCUUGUUGGACUGCCUGAUCCCUCACAGUAUUGUGGUUUGUUUGUGAAUCUAUAAUUGACUCACUGUGCUAUAACAGUUUUAAGAUUAGAUGAAGUGCCAACAAAUUAGGUAUGGUUUUAUUAUUUGAUGUCAACGAUUUUACGUUCAUGAGAAAACUUUUGAUAGGAUUAUUCAAAUGUGAUCCUGCAGAUCAUUCUUUGAGUUUUUGUUUCAGUGCAAUAUGAAUUAAACAUCACAGGUGAUAACAUUAAUAUGCUCUGGGUGCAUUAGCAAUCCCACGUUUGCUGUCCUCUGUUGAAUCAUUUUUUCAUUGUUACUACACUCCUUCACGGAGGAGAGAAAGACUUACAUUAAACAGGAAAAAAUACCUUCAGAGUACAUCUUACAGCCUGAUCCAUCCUCCACAGCCUCACAAGACUAAUUUGGAUUCAGUAAUAAUUCAAAAUGCCACUAAAUGACUCAUACAAUGUGAGCGCGGGACAGUAUUGACAAGGGGAAUGUUUAAUUAUGAUAAGCAAGGAAAAUCAAAUUCAUCAUUUAAGAAUUUUAAUUGAUUAAUUCAAAUCAUUUUCCCCUUUACUGCUGCAGAUAGGGAGCGGAUGCCGAAAGGAAUAUGAGGAGAAUUAUGAAAUGAAGCCUGUGCAUUUGAAAUGAAUGAUGUAUUAGUUUAGGGGAGAUUGGAAAGACUCUUUUGUCCGCACAGCCACAGUUACCAGCAGUGAUUACACAACCAUUUUACUGACAAUCCAUCCUCCUCCAUUCAAAGUGCACCGUUGAUUAUGCAUUUUUAGUAUUUUAUCGUCGUUAUGAAAGGUUCUUGAGUUUAAUUCACAGGCUGCAGAUCAUUCUCAUUAACACAUACAUCAUAAAAAAUAUAUAACAUAUGAUUGUCAAACCCUUUUCCGAACAUUUCUCUGAGAUUUCCUCAUUAUUAUUCAUGAUUAUCGAAGCUCAGAUUCCCAAGAGUAAACCCUCAUUAAAACACCAACACUGAUGGGAAUUCAAAGACAGAGAAGGAGUAGCUGCUGAGUCUGUUCGGUCUUUGCACUCAUUUUAUUUUGGGCAUAAUCUCUGUUUUUUUAUGCACCAGUUUAUGACAAAUGUUACGUUUCAACAAUGUGCUCUGUUCUUUUAUCAGAGAUAUUUUAAAUACUCUGUCAGUUUUAAUGAAAGCACAUGCCUUGGAUUAUAAAUUGGUCUUCAGUCCGGAAGCCUGGAACUACCAAUGUUUGGUUAAAAGCUGGCCCAAAUUGAGUGUGUUUACAUGAUCAAAACUCAUCAGAUAACAAGCAAAAAUCUGUGUUUGGCAUAGAUUUUAGGGAGCUUAGGGAGGGGAGGUCUGAAGAUUCACCAGAAGAAUAGUGUUUUUUUAUUUUUAUUUCUUCCGCAAAGAUGGAUGUGUUCAGGCUGUGACCCCUCAGAAGCACAGGGAAUAUUGUUCAGUCAUGUACGGCUGAGCUAGAGCAGUUUCAUAUUUGAUAGGGAAACAUUAUGGGCUCUAUUUUCGUGCGCGCCGGUGAGGCGGCGGAAGGCGGCGAGCCCCGCGCAGUUGUAUUUUCGUCUGGCGGAGCCCGGCGUAAGGCCAGUGUGGUAUUUUCGUGGACUGAGCCGCACGGAGGCGAGCCGAGAUCCGCCAAGCUGGGCGUGGUGGCGUGGCAGGGGGAGGUGUCGACAGAAUCAGCUGGCGCAGUGACAUUUUCGUGCUUGCCACCGGCGUGUAAAGUGCGCUGAAAGCUCGCCGAUUCAAACCUGGACAGCUUUCAGCGCAUGGCGGAGCGCAGCUGGUCUAGUG